GGGUGGCAGGUAGCCUAGUGGUUAGAGUGUUGGGGAGGCAGGUAGCCUAGUGGUUAGAGUGUUGGGGAGGCAGGUAGCCUAGUGGUUAGAGUGUUGGGGAGGCAGGUAGCCUAGUGGUUAGAGUGUUGGGGAGGCAGGUAGCCUAGUGGUUAGAGUGUUGGGGAGGCAGGUAGCCUAGUGGUUAGAGUGUUGGGGAGGCAGGUAGCCUAGUGGUUAGAGUGUUGGGGAGGCAGGUAGCCUAGUGGUUAGAGUGUUGGGGAGGCAGGUAGCCUAGUGGUUAGAGUGUUGGGGAGGCAGGUAGCCUAGUGGUUAGAGUGUUGGGGAGGCAGGUAGCCUAGUGGUUAGAGUGUUGGGGAGGCAGGUAGCCUAGUGGUUAGAGUGUUGGGGAGGCAGGUAGCCUAGUGGUUAGAGUGUUGGGAAGGCAGGUAGCCUAGUGGUUAGAGUGUUGGGGAGGCAGGUAGCGUAGUGGUUAGAGUGUUGGG